CGGGCCUCUUCCUGCCACUGCAGACAGUCAGCAGUUGGUCUGGCGUGAGCAGCAUUCUCAGAUCACCUCUUGGCUGUGGGUGGUGCAGAGAGCGCCGC
rnacentral:pre_miRNA from 1 species